UACGGAGGGUGCGAGCGUUGUCCGGAAUCAUUGGGCGUAAAGGGCGCGUAGGUGGCCCGGUCAGUUCGUGGUGAAAAGCGCGGGGCUCAACCCCUGCGUCGGCCAUGAAUACUGCCGCGGCUGGAGCACUGUAGAGGCAGGCGGAAUUCCGGGUGUAGGCGGUAGGAAUGGCGCAGAUAGUCAGGAGGAACACCAAGUAGCGAAGGCAGCUCGCUGGGACGGUACUGACGCUAAGGCGCGAAAGCCAGGGGAGCAAACGGG
rnacentral:rRNA from 1 species